GGGCCUAUAGCUCAGCUGGUUAGAGCACUUGACUCAUAAUCAAGGGGUCCCAGGUUCAAGUCCUGGUGGGCCCA
rnacentral:tRNA from 2 species